CUCAUGUUUUACCGAUUCCUUUUUUUCUUUAGCUGUUUGAUUUGUCAAAAAUCAAGAUAUAAGGACAUUGAUUUGGUUCUUUGAAAUUGAUGUUUAAUUAACAUUUUUGUUUGUUAUAUUUGUGGUAAGAUUUUAAUGGGUGAUCAGGGAUGUUUAAUUGUGAUGUUUGGUCUGAUCAUUUUUAUGAAGGCGGAGGGAGAGUUCACUCGAACAUUAUGGCUUGGGUAAGUAUUGUUCUAUAUUCUUCUUAGGAAGCAAUCUUAAGGAUAUAAAAUGAAGGAGAUGACACGAAGUGGGAUCUUUGUUGGUAAUGGUGAAAAUGGUGCACUAGAAGCUGAUAGGCCUAUACCACUAACAUGGUUUGUCGUCAACCAAAAAAUGUGUAAAUGGGUCGUUAAUCACUUAUAUAGAUCAUUUUAUUUAGUUAAUAAUUCUAAAUUUGAUUGUAUUUUUCAUUUUUAUGUAUUAUCUUCAUGGUGUUGCUCAAUCCACGAAGCAUACGGAUGAAAAUUGAAGUACAAAACAGAUUGAGAGAUUGGAUCAUGAAACUUUGGGUGGGUGUUGCUGGAUCGAUCAAAGGCAUACUCUGUGAGAACUGAGGAGUUAUUGUUUGCAGGUUGGGGCAUAAGAAGAAGCAGCAUUUGGGUUGAAAAUUAAUGUUAACUC